rnacentral:lncRNA from 1 species
GGGAAGGGUCAGGAUAAUCCAACGUCUCUGCCUCCUUCCUUCUUCUAUCCUGCCAAUCCCUACACCAGGGAACACUUAACCCAUACCUGCAGGCAUCCCAGGUUCUAAGAGAGACUCCUAAGCAGGAGAUAUACAGGUAUUUUGUACCGCUGUGCAGUGGGGAAAAAACCAAGGACUUGAUUCCAGAAGACCUGGGUUUGAAUCUGGACUCUUACUGGAAAGUCAGAAGAUUUAGACCUGAAAGGGGACAAAGCACAAGGUGUCACCCUCUGACUAUUGAACAGGAUGAGGAAACGUGGGCCCAAAGAGGUGACCUGACUUAACCUGGGUCAUAAGGAUGCUGUGCAAGUUCUCAAAAUGUCUUAGAAACAGUAAGACAACCUUUUGGUUUCAAAUAAAUGAAUACCAAUAAAUCA